UGCAAGUCGAACGAUGAUCCCAGCUUGCUGGGGGAUUAGUGGCGAACGGGUGAGUAACACGUGAGUAACCUGCCCUUGACUCUGGGAUAAGCCUGGGAAACUGGGUCUAAUACCGGAUAUGACUCCUCAUCGCAUGGUGGGGGGUGGAAAGCUUUUGUGGUUUUGGAUGGACUCGCGGCCUAUCAGCUUGUUGGUGGGGUAAUGGCCUACCAAGGCGACGACGGGUAGCCGGCCUGAGAGGGUGACCGGCCACACUGGGACUGAGACACGGCCCAGACUCCUACGGGAGGCAGCAGUGGGGAAUAUUGCACAAUGGGCGAAAGCCUGAUGCAGCGACGCCGCGUGAGGGAUGACGGCCUUCGGGUUGUAAACCUCUUUCAGUAGGGAAGAAGCCGUAAGGUGACGGUACCUGCAGAAGAAGCGCCGGCUAACUACGUGCCAGCAGCCGCGGUAAUACGUAGGGCGCAAGCGUUAUCCGGAAUUAUUGGGCGUAAAGAGCUCGUAGGCGGUUUGUCGCGUCUGCUGUGAAAGACCGGGGCUCAACUCCGGUUCUGCAGUGGGUACGGGCAGACUAGAGUGCAGUAGGGGAGACUGGAAUUCCUGGUGUAGCGGUGAAAUGCGCAGAUAUCAGGAGGAACACCGAUGGCGAAGGCAGGUCUCUGGGCUGUAACUGACGCUGAGGAGCGAAAGCAUGGGGAGCGAACAGGAUUAGAUACCCUGGUAGUCCAUGCCGUAAACGUUGGGCACUAGGUGUGGGGGACAUUCCACGUUUUCCGCGCCGUAGCUAACGCAUUAAGUGCCCCGCCUGGGGAGUACGGCCGCAAGGCUAAAACUCAAAGGAAUUGACGGGGGCCCGCACAAGCGGCGGAGCAUGCGGAUUAAUUCGAUGCAACGCGAAGAACCUUACCAAGGCUUGAC
rnacentral:rRNA from 1 species